UCGCUUUGGAAGGAGAAGGCGCUCCUCCGUGUGGAUGAAAACUCAUCAACGGUUAUGCAAAUCUCUACUACACCGAUUCAUGUGUCCUGCUGCUUGAAGUUGUACCAGGAAAGCUUUUUGAGAGUAGCAUAAAGAAUCAGUGGAAGGCAUGAAACAGAGAGAUGAAUAUCUCUUAACCUGCUCUCAC